CAAUAGCGUAUAUUAAAGUUGUUGCGGUUAAAAAGCUCGUAGUUGGAUUUCUGUCGAGAACGCGCGGUCCACGCUUUGCGUGAGCAUCUGUGUCGGUCUUGGCAUCCUCUAGGGGAUCGUUUCUGCGCUUGAUUGCGUGGAGCGGAACUCUAGACUUUUACUUUGAGGAAAUUAGAGUGUUCACGGCAGGCAAACGCCUUGAAUACAUUAGCAUGGAAUAAUAACAUAGGACCUUGGUUCUAUUUUGUUGGUUUCUAGAGCUGAGGUAAUGAUUAAUAGGGACAAUUGGGGGCAUUAGUAUCAACACGUCAGAGGUGGAAUUCUUGGAUUGUGUUGCGACUAACUACUGCGAAAGCAUUUGCCAAGGAUGUUUUCAUUGAUCAAGAACGAAAGUAAGGGGAUCGAAGAUGAUUAGAUACCGU
rnacentral:rRNA from 1 species